UCUUGAGAGAAAAUCAUUGUCAGGAGAAC
rnacentral:piRNA from 1 species